rnacentral:rRNA from 1 species
UACGUAGGGUGCGAGCGUUGUCCGGAAUUAUUGGGCGUAAAGAGCUUGUAGGCGGUUUGUCGCGUCUGCCGUGAAAAUCCGGGGCUCAACCCCGGACUUGCGGUGGGUACGGGCAGACUAGAGUGUGGUAGGGGAGACUGGAAUUCCUGGUGUAGCGGUGAAAUGCGCAGAUAUCAGGAGGAACACCGAUGGCGAAAGCAGGUCUCUGGGCCACUACUGACGCUGAGAAGCGAAAGCGUGGGGAGCGAACAGG